rnacentral:rRNA from 1 species
AUUUUGGACAAUGGGCGAAAGCCUGAUCCAGCAAUGCCGCGUGCAGGAUGAAGGCCUUCGGGUUGUAAACUGCUUUUGUACGGAAGGAAAAGCUUCGGGUUAAUACCCAGGAGUCAUGACGGUACCGUAAGAAUAAGCACCGGCUAACUACGUGCCAGCAGCCGCGGUAAUACGUAGGGUGCAAGCGUUAUUCGGAAUUACUGGGCGUAAAGCGUGCGCAGGCGGUUUUUUAAGACAGAGGUGAAAUCCCCGGGCUCAACCUGGGAACUGCCUUUGUGACUGCAAGGCUGGAGUGCGGCAGAGGGGGAUGGAAUUCCGCGUGUAGCAGUGAAAUGCGUAGAUAUGGGGAGGAACACCGAUGGCGAAGGCAAUCCCCUGGGCCUGCACUGACGCUCAUGCACGAAAGCGUGGGGAGCAAACAGGAUUAGAUACCCUGGUAGUCCACGCCCUAAACGAUGUCAACUGGUUGUUGGGUCUUAACUGACUCAGUAACGAAGCUAACGCGUUAAAGUGA